rfam:Ovis aries breed Texel chromosome 8, whole genome shotgun sequence.
UCCUUGGUGGCUCAGAGGGUAAAGCGUCUGCCUGCAGUGCAGGAGACCCAAGUUCGAACCCUGGGUUGGGAA